AGUGAACGCUGGCGGUAGGCCUAACACAUGCAAGUCGAACGGCAGCACAGUAAGAGCUUGCUCUUACGGGUGUCGAGUGGCGGACGGUGGAGGAAUACAUCGGAAUCUACUUUUUCGUGGGGGAUAACGUAGGGAAACUUACGCUAAUACCGCAUACGACCUACGGGUGAAAGCAGGGGAUCUUCGGACCUUGCGCGAUUGAAUGAGCCGAGGUCGGAGUCGCUAGUUGGCGGGGUAAAGGCGCAGCACGGCGACGAUCCGUAGCAGGUCUGACAGGAUGAUGCCCCACACUGGCACUGAGACACGGUCGAGACUCCUACGGGAGGCAGCAGUGGGGAAUAUUGGACAAAGGGCGCAAGCCUGAUCCUGCCAUACCGCGUGGGUGAAGAAGGCCUUCGGGCUGUAAAGCCAUUUUGUUGGGAAAGAAAAGCAGCAGGUUAACCCGCCGCUGUUCUGACGGUACCGAAAGAAUAAGCACCGGCUAACUUCGUG
rnacentral:rRNA from 1 species